rnacentral:misc_RNA from 1 species
ACGAGUUUAAACACUCAAACCCACUGUAAAUUGUACCUGUUGUUGCUUUGGCAGGCGGUCCCAGGGCGGGACCUUUGCUACGGCGCCUGCCAGAGGACAUCAAACUCUGUUACGUGUUACUCUGAGUAAAGACCAAAUAAUCA